GUGUCAGCCGCCGCGGUAAAACGUAGGACGCGAGCGUUAUCCGGAGUUACUGGGCGUAAAGGGCGGGUAGGCGGCUAAUCAAGUUGGUUGUGAAAUCUCCUGGCUAAACUGGGAGGGUGCAAUCGAAACUGAUAGGCUAGAGGACAGCAGAGGGCCGUGGAAUUCCGGGUGGAGUGGUGAAAUGCGUAGAGAUCCGGAGGAACACCAGAGGCGAAAGCGGCGGCCUGGGCUGUAACUGACGCUGAACCGCGAAAGCCAGGGGAGCGAACGGGAUUAGAAACCCUCGUAGUCC
rnacentral:rRNA from 1 species